AAUCAACGCUGGCGGCGUGCCUCAGACAUGCAAGUCGAACGAUUAAAGCUCUCUUCGGAGAGCGUAUAGAGUGGCGCACGGGUGAGUAACACGUAAGUAAUCUACCCGCGAGUGGGGAAUAACGUCCGGAAACGGGCGCUAAUACCGCAUAAUGCAGCGGCAUCAUAAGAUGACAGUUGUUAAAGAUUUAUCGCUUGAGGAGGAGCUUGCGGCAGAUUAGCUAGUUGGUAAGGUAACGGCUUACCAAGGCUACGAUCUGUAACCGGUCUUAGAGGACGGUCGGUCACACUGACACUGAAUAACGGGUCAGACUCCUACGGGAGGCAGCAGUCGGGAAUUUUGGGCAAUGGGCGAAAGCCUGACCCAGCAACGCCGCGUGAAGGAUGAAGUAUUUCGGUAUGUAAACUUCGAAAGAAUAGGAAGAAUUAAUGACGGUACUAUUUAUAAGGUCGGGCUAACUACGUGCCAGCCGCCGCGGUAAAAC
rnacentral:rRNA from 1 species